rnacentral:tRNA from 1 species
UAGGCCUGUAGCUCUAACGGUAGAGCAUCCGGCUCCAAACCGGAGGGUUGGGGGUUCAAAUCCCUCCAGGCCUGU